CCCUUUCCCUUUUCUCGAUUAGAACGAUUGGAGCAGCCGUAAACUACACAAAACAUUGGCAUUUUGCCAGACGGCAGAUCCUCAGCUAUUUAACUUCCUGCCCUCCAUCUGAAUUGCGCGCUCUCGCGAUGCAGCAGCGUGACGUCACGUGAAACCAACCUAUGAACGCUAUCUAUCGAUCUGCGCUCGAUUGCUCUUCCUUCAUCCUCCAAAUACCCGGAUGUCUGUCUCAGUAACUUGAAAUUGAAUUUGAGAACUGAAUCUGAAUUGUGAGAAGUGAAUGUGAAGAUAUAUAGAGAGUUUAAUUUUCAGUGAGGAUCAAAUUUUAUUGGACUUCAGUUCCAAACGAAUAAAUUCAAUUUCAAAUGAUACAAUUCAGAUUCAGUUUUUGAAUAAAUUCAAUUUUAAUUAAACAAUACAAUUUCAAAUUAUGUGAUUCAAAUUCAGUUUUUCAAUGCAAUUAUUCAAGUUUAGCCAUUCAAAUUCAAAUAUAAAUGGUUCAAAUUCAGUUUCUGGUGGCACAUAUUUCAGCCCAUAAUAAUGUUCCUUAAUUUUUGCUGUUUUCCAGUAUGCUCUACAUCUUGUCUUGGGAGCACCCUUUGAUUUUACAUCUGUAAGUAAUUACCAGUUCAAGUAAUUGACCUUUAUGAUGUUGUAGCAGUUGAAAUAUCAAGAUUUCUCUAUUUUUGUCUUCCAGUGCGACUUUCCAAACAUACGGAGAUGGUGGGCUCUUAUUCUUCUGGAGAACUUUGGGGUUUUCUCUGAAAGUGCAGAAACCCUACAAGAGUCCCUUCCAUGUGAAGAACAAGCUACGCUUAGCAGCAGUGAGGCGUAGCUCCCAAUAAUCCGGCACAUGAAAGAAGCUGUGAAAUGGCUCCAUUCCAACAGCCAUCUGCUCAGGGGUCCAGUGGCAGAGCCUCUUUUCAUUCGAAUGAAAGAAGACCACAAGGAAAAGGCCCGCAACAAUCUCCUGGAACAGUCAGAAGCUUCCAGAGAGCCCUUUCUAUUUCAUUUUGUGUUCAGGGAUGACAUGGAGUUAUUUUUACAAGAAUAUAAGGACAAAAUGGGCCUGAGAGUGAAUUCCUCAUUUGAUACAUUUUAAGUUUAAUUUAUACAGGAUUGUCAUGAUAAAAUGGGCCUAGGGGUGAAUUGGUCAUUUGUUGUAUAU